CCUAGGGGCGGCAGCAGUGGGGAAUAUUGGACAAUGGGCGAAAGCCUGAUCCAGCCAUGCCGCGUGUGUGAAGAAGGCCUUCGGGUUGUAAAGCACUUUCAGUGGGGAAGAAAGCCUUGGGGCUAAUACCCUCGAGGAAGGACAUCACCCACAGAAGAAGCACCGGCUAACUCCGUGCCAGCAGCCGCGGUAAUACGGAGGGUGCGAGCGUUAAUCGGAAUUACUGGGCGUAAAGCGCGCGUAGGCGGUCUGAUAAGCCGGUUGUGAAAGCCCCGGGCUCAACCUGGGAACGGCAUCCGGAACUGUUAGGCUAGAGUGCAGGAGAGGAAGGUAGAAUUCCCGGUGUAGCGGUGAAAUGCGUAGAGAUCGGGAGGAAUACCAGUGGCGAAGGCGGCCUUCUGGACUGACACUGACGCUGAGGUGCGAAAGCGUGGGUAGCAAACAGGAUUAGAUACCCUAGUAGUC
rnacentral:rRNA from 1 species